rnacentral:lncRNA from 1 species
GGGGAGUACAUGCGGGUCCUGAUGGAGGGCAGAGAGAGAUAGGCUGGGAUGCACUGAGCAUCAGGGGUGGCUCAGAGAAUGGUGGACUCAGGCCCAAGUCACUGCAGCCACAACCCCUCUUCCUAGAGGAAGCUGAUCUCAGGACACCUGGGAUGAGAAACAUCUGGAUCCUGGGGCAGCAGGCACCUGGACCCACAGUGUCUGUAAGGAGUGUGGCUCACAUCACCUAUCAUGCAAAUCCCGUUGCUUGUUGACAAUCAAACCGCCUCCCCAAGCCCUCCACCAAUCCGAGUCACAGUACAGGGGUGCCUUGCCCCAGGGGCCCUGUCAGGUGCAGGGACAACCUGCUCUGGCCCAAAGACUGUGCAGGUGAGGGACCACUGGGGGCCAAAGCAAGGGAAUGAACUGCGCGUUUGCAGGCCACAGAUCUGUAGUCUUCCAGGAGUCUGAAGGCCCAGGGGCGACUUGGGCUUCUGGCACAGAACACUGGGGCCCAAAUCUAAGGUCUGCCAAGGCCGAAGCCACAGCAAACCAAACAUGCCCGUGCCAAUGCAUGCCCUCUUCAGGACCAUGUAUUCCUCCCAGCAGCUGUGAGGGCUUAAUGGAAAAUUGAAAUUUUCCUCAUUUUCUGCCUGCUAGUUCUCAGAGCAUAAGAUCUACAUAAAAAUGCAUGGGAGACACUCAGGAAUCCAGCUGUUCGAACUCCAAAAGGAAUUUAGUUCCUACGGACUUCAGUUUAUUCACCUGCUGAAUGAAAGAAUCCUUUGCUGCUCAAACCUUCUGUGCGUCUUCACUCUGUCUCACCUGACCAGUAGUAGCUUUGUGAACAGCCAAGAGGGUCGCUUUUACUUGUGGGAUAAGAGAGAAGAGGAGACAGAUAAAAAUGGUAUCAAAAAGUUUGGAAAAAAUAGAGGAAAAAGAGACAAAUAUUUGUCUAGGUUUAUUUAGGAUUAGUGUAUUUAAUGAUCAAGAUCUACAUAUUUACUCCUUGACAAUAAAAUCCUUGAUAAUAAAGUUCA